rnacentral:tRNA from 1 species
AAGACAUUAGUAGUAACUAACUACAUCACUUUGUCGAAGUGGUAAUGCGGGUUUAAACCCCGCAUGUCUUU